rnacentral:rRNA from 1 species
GAUGUACGCUAGCGACAGGCCUAACACAUGCAAGUCGAGGGGUAACGAUGGUAGCUUGCUACCAGGCGACGACCGGCGCACGGGUGAGUAACGCGUAUGCAACCUUCCUUUAACAGGAGAAUAGCCCCCGGAAACGGGGAUUAAUGCUCCAUAGUAAUUAUUUGCCACCUGACAGAUAAUUUAAAGUUCCGACGGUUAAAGAUGGGCAUGCGUGACAUUAGCCAGUUGGCGGGGUAACGGCCCACCAAAGCAACGAUGUCUAGGGGUUCUGAGAGGAAGGUCCCCCACACUGGUACUGAGACACGGACCAGACUCCUACGGGAGGCAGCAGUGAGGAAUAUUGGUCAAUGGACGCAAGUCUGAACCAGCCAUGUCGCGUGCAGGAUGACUGCCCUAUGGGUUGUAAACUGCUUUUGUACGGGAAGAAAUAUAGCUACGUGUAGUUAUUUGCCGGUACCGUACGAAUAAGCAUCGGCUAACUACGUG